GACGAACGCUGGCGGCGUGCUUAACACAUGCAAGUCGAACGGAAAGGCCCUGCUUUUGUGGGGUGCUCGAGUGGCGAACGGGUGAGUAACACGUGAGUAACCUGCCCUUGACUUUGGGAUAACUUCAGGAAACUGGGGCUAAUACCGGAUAGGAGCUCCUGCUGCAUGGUGUGGGUUGGAAAGUUUCGGCGUUUGGGGAUGGACUCGCGGCUUAUCAGCUUGUUGGUGGGGUAGUGGCUUACCAAGGCUUUGACGGGUAGCCGGCCUGAGAGGGUGACCGGCCACAUUGGGACUGAGAUACGGCACAGAAGACUACGGGAGGCAGCAGUGGGGAAUAUUGCACAAUGGGCGGAAGCCUGAUGAAGAAACGCAGCGUGCGGGAUGACGGCCUUCGGGUUGUAAACCGAUUUCGAAUGUGACGAAGCGUGAGUGACGGUAAUGGGUAAAGAAGCACCGGCUAACUACGUG
rnacentral:rRNA from 1 species